rnacentral:rRNA from 1 species
UUUUCCGCAAUGGGCGAAAGCCUGACGGAGCAAUACCGCGUGAGGGAGGAAGGCUCUUGGGUUGUAAACCUCUUUUCUCAGGGAAGAACAAAAUGACGGUACCUGAGGAAUAAGCAUCGGCUAACUCCGUGCCAGCAGCCGCGGUAAUACGGAGGAUGCAAGCGUUAUCCGGAAUGAUUGGGCGUAAAGCGUCCGCAGGUGGCAUUGAAAGUCUGCUGUCAAAGAGUCUGGCUCAACCAGAUAAAGGCAGUGGAAACUACAAAGCUAGAGUACGUUCGGGGCAGAGGGAAUUCCUGGUGUAGCGGUGAAAUGCGUAGAGAUCAGGAAGAACACCGGUGGCGAAAGCGCUCUGCUAGGCCGUAACUGACACUGAGGGACGAAAGCUAGGGGAGCGAAUGGGAUUAG